UAAGACAAAACCUAAGAGUCAGACACUGUAAAUUUCUCCUAGAGCUCUUUUCUUCCCUUUCAUCGAACCCUUGUUCUUCCUUCUCAUCGAGUUAUUGUUCUCCAACCUUUCUUCUCUAGCCUUCCCGUCAUCAAGCCUUUCUUUUCGUCGAAUCAUUUUCUUCGAGUCUUUCCUCACCCUGUCUGGAACCAUCAUCUUCAUUCUCUGAACCAUCAUCUUCGUGUCUUGAACCCUAGGAGUCCCUGCCUCCAAUCAUGGCCCCCUGUCCCUGUGUGGUACCCGUGUUCUCCGUCAACGAACCCUCGAUUUCUCACAGUGGAGCCCUAUGACUCUUAUUCUCGUACUCUGAGUCCUUUAAUGUUGCGGUGAUUCACUGAGAAGAAGAAGUUUGGUUGUCUAGCCAUCUCUCAGUGUUCGUUGUUGCAGAUUUAAUCAUCUCUCAGUGUUCCUUGUUGUAGAUUUGGUCAGAAGAAGAAGUUUGGUUAUCUAACCUCCACCGUACACCUCUCCCGUGUUGGCUUUCCCUUGAAACCCUACACUAAAAUUGAAAAAUCGGAAAACCCUAAUGUGUUUGAAUGAGGGAUUGAAUGAGAAAUGGCGUCGAAGUUGAAAACUUGUUUUGUAUGGUGAAACCUGAGUGGCUUCAACUAUGUUAACCACUCUAAGGGAAAUGGUAGGAUAGUGCAAGUUUCAUUUUCAGGUUCUUGCAAAAUGCGACACCGAACCACUUUCAGUUUGCAGAAUAACAGGCAACGGAUCAAGCCUUCCAUUGAGGAAGUUCUCUGUCAAAAUCAAGAUGAGAAAGAAGAUUUAGAGGUUUCAUUCAAUAACUAAGAAACUCCAAGAACUUGUUAUCCAAACGAAAGAAUUGAAGCUUGAUUGAGGGAAUUUGAAUAGGUUUGCUAAGAAGGGAGCCUUAAUGUAUUUGAAUAUCAAUCACGAUAAACAUAUAUGGCCUACAAAGAACAGAGUGAACAUGAGUCCAGAUUACAUGUGAUUCAUAUUGUAGCAGAGAUGGCACCAGUACCUAAGGUUGGUGGGAUGUUGUCAGUGGUCUAGGUAAAGCACUGCAAAAGAAAGGACACCUUGUUGAAAUUGUGCUUCUCAAAUAUGAUUGUAUGCAAUAUGAUCAUGUCUGCAACUUACGGGCUCCUCUGUACUGGGAGAUAUUUGUACAUAAAGGAUUAAAUUCAGCUAGGAUAUGCUUACAUGCCACAACUUUNAGUAUCAGGGGACUGCANCANCUUCANAGUUAGACUAAUGGGUCUUGUUAGCGAGAAUCUAAAANAAUCAGAUAAAAUGUGGGACAACUCAGCACAUGAUAGAGUUAAUUCUAAGCAAGAAAGGCAGGGACAUUGCUAUUGUCAUACUUGAUAUUCACAAAACCAUUGACAGAACAACAUCGGAGUGGACUUUUACUCAUUGCUAUGGGAGUCACAUUGAAGAUGUUGCCAGAUAGCAAAUUCAGCAACAACAAUAGGGUCUUAAAUUAUUCUCCAGGGGAACUCAGAGCAAAAUCCACUAGAGAUGAAGAGUUGGGGAAUCUGCCAAAUUCUGCAGGGGGAAAAUGAUGAAAGGAGGCCUUUGGUAUAACUUAUUGUCUUCUAAAUGAAAGUAUUGUUUUUUAAGUUAUUAUUUUUAAAUUCACAAUUUCUUUGUUAUUUUCAUGUCAUGUGAAAGGAAAAAUAAAAUAAUUUUAUGUAUACAGGAUAAUUUCUUUGUUAUUGUAAGUUUGUUAGUCUUUUGAUACAUGAUAAGAUAUAUACAUGAUAUUGCCACCA